rnacentral:rRNA from 1 species
AUUGAACGCUGGCGGCAGGCCUAACACAUGCAAGUCGAGCGGAUGAAGAGAGCUUGCUCUCUGAUUUAGCGGCGGACGGGUGAGUAAUGCCUAGGAAUCUGCCUGGUAGUGGGGGAUAACGUUCCGAAAGGAACGCUAAUACCGCGUACGUCCUACGGGAGAAAGCAGGGGACCUUCGGGCCUUGCGCUAUCAGAUGAGCCUAGGUCGGAUUAGCUAGUUGGUGAGGUAAUGGCUCACCAAGGCGACGAUCCGUAACUGGUCUGAGAGGAUGAUCAGUCACACUGGAACUGAGACACGGUCCAGACUCCUACGGGAGGCAGCAGUGGGGAAUAUUGGACAAUGGGCGAAAGCCUGAUCCAGCCAUGCCGCGUGUGUGAAGAAGGUCUUCGGAUUGUAAAGCACUUUAAGUUGGGAGGAAGGGUUGUAGAUUAAUACUCUGCAAUUUUGACGUUACCAACAGAAUAAGCACCGGCUAACUUCGUGCCAGCCGCCGCAGUAAAAC